GAGGGUAUAGCUCAGUGGUAGAGUGUGUGCCUCGCAAGCAUAAUCUCCUGGGUUCGAUCCCCAGUACCUCCA